rnacentral:misc_RNA from 1 species
AACUUUUGGCAACGGAUCUCUUGGUUCCGGCAUCGAUGCAGAACGCAGCGAAACGCGAUAGUUAAUGUGAAUUGCAGAAUUCAGUGAAUCAUCGAGUCUUUGAACGCACAUUGCGCCCCCUGGUAUUCCGGGGGGCAUGCCUGUCCGAGCGUCAUUGCUGCCCAUCAAGCGCGGCUUGUGUGUUGGGCCGCCGUCCCGCCCCCCGGGGAGGGACGGGCCCGAAAGGCAGCGGCGGCACCGCGUCCGGUCCUCGAGCGUAUGGGGCUCUGUCACCCGCUCUGGAGGCCCGGCCGGCGCCCGCCGACCCCCAACCUUCUUCUAACCAGGUUGACCUCGGAUCAGGUAGGGAUACCCGCUGAACUUAAGCAUAUCAAUAAGCGGAGGCU